ensembl:misc_RNA Y_RNA Y RNA
GGCUGGUCCAAAGGUACCAAGUUAUCUCAACUGAUUAUUCACAGUUAUAGAUUGAACUCCUGUUCUACUCUUUCCCCUCUUUUCACUACUGCACUUGAAUUGUCUUAA